UACGUAGGCAGCAAGCGUUGUUCGGAGUUACUGGGCGUAAAGGGCGCGUAGGCGGUCAGCACAAGUCAGUUGUGAAAUCUCCGGGCUUAACUCGGAAAGGUCAACUGAUACUGUGCGACUAGAGUGCAGAAGGGGCAACUGGAAUUCUCGGUGUAGCGGUGAAAUGCGUAGAUAUCGAGAGGAACACCUGCGGCGAAGGCGGGUUGCUGGGCUGACACUGACGCUGAUGCGCGAAAGCCAGGGGAGCGAACGGG
rnacentral:rRNA from 1 species